GGCAGAGGUGCGAUUUAAUUGGCGAAUCGGAAAGUCCAAACAACAUGUUGGUAUCUGGUGGGCCCAUCGUAGCGUUGGAGUGGGAAGAGAUGCAAGUAUAAGUGUUGCCUCUUUGUGCAUGCCUUGGAGAGCAGAGGCCGGUGAUUCCACGGCCACACACAGAGAGAUUGAUACAGAAGAUAGAGAAGACCUGAGCUUUCUUUGAUUCUUUGCUUCUUCUUCUUCUUCGUCUUCUAAUACUACCAGGUACUCUAUUCCUUUUGCUUCUUCGUUCCUUCUUGUAUCCAGCAUUUUCCUCUUCUAGAUUUCCUUUUUAACUUGCAUUUUCUGUUGGAUUCCAUUUAAUUUUGUCGAAAAUUUGUGUGAAAUUCACCUCAAAGUGUGUUUUUCUCUGUAAUGUAACUCAGAUCCAGGCGAGAGAGAUUAAUUUUUGUUUUACUUGGUAUAACUUUCUUCGAUCUUCUCUUUCGAGCUUAGAUUUGAUUUUUUUUUUAUUUUCUUAAAAACUAAAUUUCAGAGAAUUCCCUGCCGUUCCUUUUCCACAUUGAUUUUUUUUUUGGUUAACCUUUCCUCUGUUAUCGAGGCUUUACCUGUUGGAUCUGUUGUCCCAUCUAUUCCGUCAUUUUCUGUAGGCCUGUCAAGUGCUCACGUGAUCUCAGGCUUAGUGCUCUUUGGGUUUUCUCUCUCUUUCUUUUUUAAUUCAAAUUCAAAUCUUUUCUGUGAGGUUUGGUAUGAUGCUCUCAUUUUUCUAAUAUUUUUGUAAUGAAUUUUGUUUAAUUCUAAUCUUAUUAUAUUGCGUUUGGCGUUGUUUAUUUUGUGAUUAAUUAAAUAAACUCUGAUGGCGGCUUUGUUUUGUUAACAACCUUUAUACGGCUUCUUGAUUUAAUACAUGAAAAUGUUGUUUGCUAACGCCGUGUUUGUACGGAUAGAAAAUAAGAGGGAAAAGAAAAUUUGAGAAAGAAAAUAAUUUUAUUUUUUAUUAUUUUAUAUUUAAAUUAAUAAAAAAAUAAAGAGGAAAAAAAUUUAAGAGAAAAAUA
rnacentral:misc_RNA from 1 species